ensembl:lncRNA
AGCCUGGAAUUGCAAGAAAUAGAAGAAAUGUACUGAAGUGAUCUUUCAGUUAAACAUUUUUGAAACGUGUAGUUACAUUAUUCAAAAUAAUUCGUAAAAUUAGAAAUUACAAAGCAAAUAAAUAGGUUGAUCAUUCAUAUUACCAAAGGAUUAUUUAUUAUUUAAUAAAGGCCCUCACUGUUUUAAUUGUUUAGACACCUUUUCAUGCAUAGUAUUAUUGAGUAAAUCCUGGAACUUUUACCCAUACAUAAUUGUAGGUUUCAAAAAACAUGUGUAGGAAUUCCUGUCUUAGAUUCUUUAACCACUGCGCCACAACGGGAACCCCCAAGUUACUGAAUUUUAAAUGGGACAGUCAGGUCAGAGAUUGCUGAAAACAACAUUUGAGCAAAGACUUAAAAUAAUAUGUGGAUAUGUGGGAUAAAAACACAGUACGCUGAGGAAUAACUAAGGAGAAAUGUAGUUUGUGUGUUUGCAGAAAAGCAAAGCCCUGCUCGAUCUGUCCCCUUUACCUCACUGUCUUCAUUUUCUGCUGCUCUCCUCUGCAAUCUUUUCACUCUAGGUACUGGGAACAAAUAGAGUAGGGCCUCAGUAUCCCUAUUCAAGACUUCUCUUUUUACUUGUGUAAAAUGGGCAGCAUUGGAGAGUUUUGAGCUGAGCAGAAAUAUAUUGCCACUUAGGCUUUAAGAAAGAGAUCAUUUUAGAUAAUUUAUUAGGAAAGUACUUUAAAAGGAUAAAGGUAGAAGAAAGGAAAGCCAUUAGUAGCAGGUGAAAAGAGAGGGUAGCUUAGACCAGAGAAACAACCCUGAAGGUUGUGACAAGAAGUCAGAUUGUGUAACUUUGUAUAGCAAGUGUAAUCCAGGGUCUCUGUGUGGAAUUAAUCUCCCAUCAUUGCUGAUUUCAGAAGUGCUACUCUCUGCAUGACUACACAGCUCUCAAGCAUCCCAUUCCAGAGAAUCCACCAUGAGAAGGAUAGAAUUUCUAUUUCCAGUUAGAAAAUGCCAUGGAAAAUUGUAAUUGGUCCAGAGUGCAUCAUAUAGUCCUCUUUUAAUAGGGCAUCCUAAGUAUAAUGGAAUGUAAAUCCCUGAGUUUCUGAAUCCUUACCUGUCAGCAGACCUUAUGGAGAUAUCACUGGUAAAACUCAUUUAUUUUGGUAGGAACCUUUCAAAAAUCACUUGGACCACUUUUCACCUGUCACCAUGUAAGAGCCCAUAAAUUUUCAGCUUACAGGCCUUGGAGGGACCAAUUAAAUAGAUAUUUUCAAAUGUAAUUUUAUAAAGAAAUUGGCCAAGGAGUAGCAGAGCUCUCUAUUUCAUCCUGCUCCUCUUCUGCUUAUGAAAGAAAAGCUAUUUCCCAUGAUAGAGGGAGAAUAUCAAAGACUAGACCAAAACUGUGACUGAAAAUAAGUUGUAUAGUUCAUUCAUAUGCUAAUAUGCACUGAAGUGGUUGAGAUGUAAAAAAUCUCAACUCAGUUACUAUUCUGUAGCAUAUCUGUGUCUUGUUCACUAAGGUAUUACCAGCACCAAGCCCUAUACAUAGCACAUCAUAGCCAAGCAAUAAAUCCUUAUUGAAUGAAAAAAUGAAUCUUACCACACUGGAAAAUGAUAAAUUUUCAGUUUGCUCCUUUGUAUGCCAGUCUUUGGCAAAGCCCAUAACUUACAGCAUAUCAGGUAAUAGGGAUGAGUCAGAGAAGAAUGUAUUAACCUACUUGUUUAAAAGUAUGUCUUAGCAUUGAAAGGAUGAUUUCAAAUUAUUAUCCAUUUUUUGAUCAAAAUAAAAUUGUUAGAUUCAAAAAAUAUAUGCUUUUUAUAACUCUAGUGCAAGAAUGGGAAAAAUAAUUUGCUAGCCCAUAGUCUUUUCAGAUAUCAUUGUAUAUAAAUCAAUACUUGUUGUGUACCCACUAGUUUUCAACAUAGAUUCUUCCUUCAAUGAUUUUGCAAGCAAGUUUUGGAGAUAUAUGUGAAGUAAAAUUAUAUAUAAAAGUGACAUGAUAUUGCAUAAGAAAGAACAGAAAUAUCAAAGAUAAGAACAUGAUAUUCCACUGGGAUAUUGUUUGCCAUUGGGGGAAGGGGACAUGGGUACUCACACCAUUUGGACCAUGGGCUGUGUGUGUUAUGGGCUGAAUUUUAUUCCAUCCAAUUCAUAGAUUGAAGUCCUAACCCCCAGGACUGUAUUUGGAGACAGGGUCUUUAGAAAAGUAGUUUUGUUAAUAUGAGGUCAUUAAGGUGGGCUUUAAUUCAAUAUGAUAAAUAUCCUUAUAAGAAGAGGAAGUUUAGACAAAGAUACAUGUAGAGGAAGAAUGCCAUGUGAACAUGAAGACAGCCAUUUGCAAGCCAAGGAGAGGGGUUUUGAAAGAAACCAACCCUGCUGACACUUUGAUCUCAGACUUCCAGCCUCCAGAACUGCGAGAAAACAGUUUAAGUCACCUGGUCCGUAGUACUUUGUUAUGACAGUUCUAGCAUACUGAUGUAGUACAAAUAUAAAGUAGGUUUUAUCCCGGGGAGAGUUUAGCAGCAGAGAAAUAGAGGGCAUAAAGUGUCCUGUAAACAUGCAUUUUCCCACAGAGCAAUGAUUUGUUAGGAAAGUCAUAGAUGAGUGAAAUCACAAUAGAAAGAGACUCCACACUCAUAAUGCUUAUAAAAAAGAAAAGAAAAGAAAGAAAAAAA